CGGCGAGUGGCGAACGGGUGAGUAAUGCAUCGGAACGUGCCGAGUAAUGGGGGAUAACUGUCCGAAAGGAUAGCUAAUACCGCAUACGCUCUUUGGAGGAAAGCGGGGGACCUUAUGGCCUCGCGUUAUUCGAGCGGCCGAUGUCAGAUUAGCUAGUUGGUGGGGUAAAGGCCUACCAAGGCAAUGAUCUGUAGCGGGUCUGAGAGGAUGAUCCGCCACACUGGGACUGAGACACGGCCCAG
rnacentral:rRNA from 1 species